rnacentral:rRNA from 1 species
AGAGUUUGAUCAUGGCUCAGGACAAACGCUGGCGGCGUGCCUAAAACAUGCAAGUCGAACGAGCACUUCGGUGCGAGUGGCGGACGGCUGAGUAACACGUGGGUAACCUACCCUGAAGUGGGGAACAACCCGCCGAAAGGCGAGCUAAUACCGCAUACGAUCGCUGGUCUUCGGAUUGGUGAGGAAAGCCUUCGGGCGCUUUAGGAUGGGCCUGCGGCCGAUUAGCCAGUUGGUGGGGUAAUGGCCUACCAAAGCGAUGAUCGGUAGCUGGUCUGAGAGGAUGAUCAGCCAGACUGGGACUGCGACACGGCCCAGACUCCUACGGGAGGCAGCAGUUAGGAAUCUUGGGCAAUGGGCGAAAGCCUGACCCAGCAACGCCGCGUGGGUGACGAAGGCCUUCGGGUCGUAAAGCCCUUUUCCCAGGGAAGAUAAUGACGGUACCUGGGAAUAAGCCCCGGCUAACUACGUGCCAGCAGCCGCGGUA